rnacentral:rRNA from 1 species
AGCGAACGCUGGCGGCAGGCUUAACACAUGCAAGUCGAGCGGGCAUCCUUGUGGUGUCAGCGGCAGACGGGUGAGUAACGCGUGGGAACGUGCCCUUCGGUUCGGAAUAACUCAGGGAAACUUGAGCUAAUACUGGAUACGCCCUCUUGGGGCAAGGUUCACUGCGGAAGGAUCGGCCCGCGUCUGAUUAGCUAGUGGGUGAGUGUACGGCUCACCAAGGCGACGAUCAGUAGCUGAUCUGAGAGGAUGAUCAGCCACACUGUGACUGAGACACGACCCGGACUCAUACCGGAGGCAGCAGUGGGGAAUAUUCGACAAUGGGGGCAACCCUGUGCCAGCCGGGCCGCGUGAGUGUUGACGGCCUUAGGGUUGUCAAGCUCUUUUCUCCGGGACGAUACUGACGGUAGCGGAGGAAUAAGCCCCGGCUAACUUCGUG